rnacentral:rRNA from 1 species
UGGCGCAAGCCAAGUUUCUAGGAAUGAGGAAUUGGAACUAACGAAGGGGAUGAAGUAAGCAAUUACUUUAUCAUUACUUUGAAUAAAAUAGAGUGUUUAAAGCAAAACAUUUAGUUAAUGAAUAUUCAAGCAUGGGACAAUGCUGAGGGGAUGUCGCAAGACAUUUCGAGAGAAGGAUUAAAAGGAACAAUUGGGGUGAUUCAGAAAAUAACGGGAGAGGUGAAAUUCCAUGAUCGCUAUAAGAUGCACGAGAGCGAAAGCAUUUCACUCAACUGGAUCCAUUAAUCAAGAACGAAAGUUAGGGGAUCGAAGACGAUUAGAUACCGUCGUAGUCCUAACUAUAAACGAUGUCAACCAAGGAUUGGAUGAAAUAAAGAAAUACGCGAAUGAAGAAACAUUGUUUUGGAGUUCAAGUGUUUCACAACUACCUUGUUCAGAACUUAAAGAGAAAUCUCGAGUUUAUGGACUUCAGGGGGAGUAUGGUCACAAGGCUGAAACUUAAAGGAAUUGACGGAAGGGCACACCAGGAGUGGAGCCUGCGGCUUAAUUUGACUCAACACGGGGAAACUUACCAGGUCAAAACAUGGAUGGGAUUGACAGAUUGAAAGCUCUUUCUUGAUUCUAUGGGUGGUGGUGCAUGGCCGUUCUUAGUUGGUGGAGUGAUUUGUCUGGUUAAUUCCGAUAACGAACGAGACCUUAACCUGCUAACUAGUUUGCUCCUGCAUAAGGGGUAUAACUUCUUAGAGGGACUAUGUAUGUUAAAUACAUGGAAGUUUAAGGCAAUAACAGGUCUGUGAUGCCCCUAGACGUCCUGGGCCGCACGCGCGCUACACUGACACGUUCAGCGAGCUUAUUUACCUGUCUCGAAAGAGUAUGGGAAAUCUUGUUAGGACGUGUCGUGCUGGGGAUAGAUCUUUGCAAUUAUAGAUCUUGAACGAGGAAUUCCUUGUAAGCAUAGGUCAUCAGCCUGUGCUGAAUACGUCCCUGCCCUUUGUACACACCAUAUCGUGACUGGGAAACAGAUCGGAAGAGCACACGUCUGAACUCCAGUCACUCCGCGAAAUCUCGUAUGCCGUCUUCUGCU